ACACGGGGGGCGCAAGCGUUAUUCGGAAUUAUUGGGCGUAAAGGGCGCGUAGGCGGUUUUGUCGGUCAGAUGUGAAAGCCCGGGGCUCAACCCCGGACGUGCAUUUGAAACAGCAAGACUUGAGUACGGGAGAGGAAAGCGGAAUUCCUGGUGUAGAGGUGAAAUUCGUAGAUAUCAGGAGGAACACCGAUGGCGAAGGCAGCUUUCUGGACCGAUACUGACGCUGAGGCGCGAAGGCGUGGGUAGCGAACAGGAUUAGAAACCCGGGUAGUCC
rnacentral:rRNA from 1 species